UUUUUUGUUUAAUUAUGUGACUAAAUUCUAAAACUGUUAACUGAAUGGAUCUCGUGUAGUUCAUUUUUUGUUAACUUCCGUACCUACAGGGUUCUCUGACCUUGUAAGAUGUAUUGUCUCGAAUGGAUAUGUUGGUACUGCAAAUGGUAGAAAAAUGAAACCAGAGUCACCCUUCCCCCAUGCUUCCCAACCCCCCAUCCCCCACCCCCUUUCUUUAUGGUUAGUUUAGUAUCUCUGCCCAAAAGGACCAAAGAUAGCUAACAUCCGGCAACCAGAGCUUCCACCAGAAUCACACUCCUCUUGCUAAGUGUCUAAUUCCAUGGUUAUAGUUUCCUAUUCUUGUGGCUGGUGCUUGUUUAAGAGGAAAUGAAUUAUUUUUAGAUAAAGUCAUUAAAUUACUAUAAAAUAUUCGAAGAUUAGUAAGAGAUAUGAUUCUCAUAAGGACUCUUUUCAUGUUUUCUUAUAAGAUUGUCUUUUUUGCUGGUUUGUUAGAAAAAUUAUAUUCUAUAGUAUGUUACGUGAUUUUGAGUUCAAAUUAAUUACACUGAAAUAUAUUAAAUUUAAUGUUAAGGGUGUAAUUAUUUUAACUGUAAUCUUCCCUUGAAAGUUAGAGGGGUAUUAUGUUUAAAAGGCAUUAAUAGCAUCACCCUUUUUGUUAGUCAUCUACCCUUCACUGACUUGUCACCAAACAGAUUUAGUAAUCCUGGAGAGAGAAAAUGUGUAUGACAUUCAAGUUGCAGGGGACUGUGGACUUUCCUUUUUAACUAUGGCCUCAGAUAGCCGACUAUCAAGAUUUAGUCAGGGUAUCCUAACAUGUGCAUUAGAUACAUGCACAAACCUGCUGAUUAUAUUUGUAGGGAAAAAGCCUCGAUAUCUAGUUCUGCUUUUCUCAUUUCUUUUCUUGCCAAUCUUGUCUUUUUGGCUGGG
rnacentral:lncRNA from 1 species